GGCCCAGCAACUCCUAUCCCUACCUCCUCGUGGUACUGGCCGGGGUACGAGUAACCUUGGGGAAGAUCGGGUAACCAACCCCCGGUGGGAACUUUGGUCGUAUGCUGACAGGGAAGG
rnacentral:ribozyme from 1 species